UGAAUCGUAGAUACCGACUUAUGGUAUGAGAGUGUGUUUUUGUAAUAUAAUCAUAGAUAUUGAAUCUUGAUAGAGUUUUUCCGUAGAUAACAUGUUACAUUGUAUACAUUUAAUACUUAGUGUAUUUUCAAUGUAGGUUUCUAUGGUUACGGGUGUAUUGACUUUUCAUUUACAGCUGGGAGAUAUGGGACUACAGCUGGUCCAGGCCUACAUGUAGGUGAUGACUGCAUUUCUGCUCGUAGCAGUGAUAUGACGGGUAGUGAGUGACUGUGGAGUUUGCAGUCUGGUUGUUGCAGCUUGUUGCUUGACAUUUGUUUGACCUUGGGGUUUUUUGUUUACGACACAGAAUAAACUUCAAUGCCC